ensembl:lncRNA
UUAAUUCUUAAUUUGUCUUAAAUAUCAUUUUGUUUAAAAAUAAAAAUAGAAUCGAAUCGUGAAAUCAAAAUCGUGAAUCGAAUCGAAUCAUGAGUUGAGUGAAUCGUUACAUCCCUAGUGAUUUAAUGGGGAGACAAAUUUCAUUUUUGAGUGAACUAAUGUCAUUGGAUAUGGGUGAACAGUGAAUUGUUUCCUGCAAACAGAUGUAUAUUUUUUACUUAAACACUAGUGAUUUUUUUUUAUUGUAUUUGUAAAAACAAAAAUAAUGAGAAAAACAAAUCUGUAGUAUUUCAUUCCUUAAUACAGCCAAUUCAAAAAUCUGUGAAGAAGAAGGUGAGUGGCCCAUCACAAAAAGCAAUUAUAUGGCCACAAAGUCUUGUAAGGACACUGCUGUUGGUUUGACAAGGAGAAAUUGUACUAACGAAAGUUGGGGAAAGGAAAUCUCUUCUUGUGUGAAUGCAGAACUGCAUAAAGUUCAACAGGCUGUAGAGAUGUUGGAUAAAGGCAUUGGCUUUAUUAAGAACGAUGCAGACAAACUUUUCAGUGAAAUACAGCGUUCAACCACUCUGGAGACAUUCAGCUCAUUUGCAAAUAUUAAUAUGUCUGUAGUCAUUUUCCGAAAGAUGAACAAUGUGUCUAUACAGCAGUUAAAUCGAUGGAAUGAUACUAUCAUGCCUGUAUGUAUGUUUUCUCAAGUUUCUUUGUAACGUUAUUAUUAAAAUUGAACUCUUCUUUAAAAUCUUUAGUAAUAUUUGGUUCGGGAACAGGGCUACCGAACUUUACAUGUGCCAAAACACCUGAAAAUUAAAAUUAAAACAACAAUUUACAAGAAACUCAAAGGACAAAGAAACUAUCAUCUUAAAUAUUUCUUCUUUUUAAAAUUAGCUUUUGUUUUUUAGAAAGUUGUUUAUGUCACAAAUUACGGGUCCAAAAGCAAAUAAUAGCUCAUUCUUUACUGGAAACAUGUCAGAAAUUAACUCUAAUUAAUUAGAAGCAAUACCAUUCAUUCAAAAUGACAAAUAAUCAAAUUUCUGUGUUUGCUCAAAGUCUAAUCGCAUUUCAUUUUUUAUCUUGUUUUUACAUUUCAGGACUUUGUCAGCUCUAUAAGCAACUCUUUGAAUGACACAAACGCCUGGAAAAAUCCUGAAACUGAAAAAACAGAUUUAUCUGUAACAUAUCUACACAC